GACGAACGCGGGCGGCGUGCCUAAUACAUGCAAGUCGAGCGAAGUUUUUUGGUGCUUGCACUAGAAAAACUUAGCGGCGAACGGGUGAGUAACACGUAAAGAACCCGCCUCAUAGACUGGGACAACUAUUGGAAACGAUAGCUAAUACCGGAUAACAGCUUUAACUGCAUGGUUGAUGUUUGAAAGUUGGUUAUGCUAACACUAUGAGAUGGCUUUGCGGUGCAUUAGCUAGUUGGUGGGGUAAAGGCCCACCAAGGCGACGAUGCAUAGCCGACCUGAGAGGGUGAUCAGCCACACUGGGACUGAGACACGGCCCAGACUCCUACGGGAGGCAGCAGUAGGGAAUCUUCCGCAAUGGGCGAAAGCCUGACGGAGCAACGCCGCGUGAGUGAAGAAGGAUUUCGGUUCGUAAAGCUCUGUUGUUAGGGAAGAAUGGAUAUGUAGUAACUAUACAU
rnacentral:rRNA from 1 species